UGUAUAAAAUCUCGAUUUUAGUAUUUUAAAUUAAUUUAAAAUAAUGUUAGUUUAGGUGGAAGUUGUAUAUUAAAGUAUAUUUAUAGGUAUAUUUAUUUAAAUAACAUUGGGUAAAGAAAAAUUUAUAUUUGACGUGGAACUAGACUAAAUGAAAAAAUAUAUUUGAAAAUUUUUAAUAGUUAAGAAAAUUUUAAUAAAUAAUUGCUGCUAUAUGUUUAAUUAUUAAAUUUAAAUUAAUUAGCACCUAAUAGUUAAUAUCUUGUCCAAGGAGACUUAUCUGAUUUUAUGGCGGUUUUAGAAAUUUAAAUUUCUUGUAUUGAUAAUAAUUAAAUCAUAUAUUUAAAUGUAAAUUU
rnacentral:rRNA from 1 species